UACGGAGGGGGCUAGCGUUGUUCGGAAUUACUGGGCGUAAAGCGCACGUAGGCGGAUUGUUAAGUCGGGGGUGAAAUCCUGGAGCUCAACUCCAGAACUGCCUUCGAAACUGGCGAUCUUGAGUCCGGGAGAGGUGAGUGGAACUGCGAGUGUAGAGGUGAAAUUCGUAGAUAUUCGCAAGAACACCAGUGGCGAAGGCGGCUCACUGGCCCGGUACUGACGCUGAGGUGCGAAAGCGUGGGGAGCAAACAGG
rnacentral:rRNA from 1 species